GUGCGGCCAGGCGGUUCUUUGCGCUUCCCCCAUUCCUGGACAAUGGGCACUGCAGCACUGGUGCUUGGGGUGGGAGCAGCAUGUGGAGCCCCUAUGGCCGCACCUCUGCCUAGGAACUGGAGGGAAAUGCCGGUCGCUUCCAGGAGCUGCACAGAGCCAGGACAGGCAGGGAGCCUGCCUUAGCCUGGCUGCGCCACCAACUGGACUUUUAAUGGCCCAGUCAGCGAGGGUCAGACCCUCAGAACUUGGCUGAACAGUGUCUGUGUAAGAUAGUCAUGCUGCUGUGACUAAACGGAAACUCGGGCCCUAUAGGGUGUAGAUAGCAGUAGUAGCUUCUACCAGGCAAGCUGGAGAGAAGCAUAGGGUUGGCUUUUUAGCAAUGGAAGCUGUGUGAUGUCUUUUGUUACCUGGAAGCCUCUUACACAAAUAUAAAAUGGAAUGGUAAGGAUUAAGUAUGCUUUUAAAUCAUCAAAUAGCACUUAGUGAAUGUGCACUAACUACCUAAGAAUUAAUAACUGAGGGCCAAAUAUUCAAACAGUGAAGCUGACUUGUGCCUGCAUAAGGUACAUAGGAACACGUACAUUCACAUGCAGGUGAAAUUAUCCAUUUGAAUAAGCAAUUCCAACUUAACACACAAAUAAUGAUUUUGCAUGUGCAAAUGCCAGUGUAUACAACGAAGAAGUGCAUGUGGCAGUACUUGCACAUGCAAACUCCACAUUUUUGUGUUCAGUUGAAUACUUGUACCCACAUUUGUGUGUGUGUGUGUUUGUACACACCUGCAAACACAAGUCAGCCACUAUGGUUUGAAUAUUUUGGAAAAUGGACACAAAUCAGAAAAUGUGUUAAGAACUAGGCAUUUAGGGUGAAUUUAGCAAAAAGGUAAUUUAUGAUGUUUCUGAAUGUUCUAAUUUCUGUACAUUGUCCAGUGCAAAACAUCAGUUCAGCCAGUGGUUACAGCUCUGUAGAUUAGCAUCCUGCUCACAAGCUCCAAUCUGGCUAUACAGAGAAAAGGUAAGUCAAAAACCCAGUGAAAAUAACAAAAAGCAGAAGAAGUUGUUAAUGCAAGUACAGGUCUGAGAAACAACAAAAUUGAAAUUAACCAGGCAAAUUCCAAUUUCUGGAUUCAAACAAAAUGAAUAAAAAGAAGCAAAAACAAAAUGCAAGUGUGUAAAAGUAAUUAUCAGAGUUGUCUAAUGACGUAAUAUUACUCAAGAGUGCUGUGUGCAUUUGCAUUUAGUAUAUGAACAUUUGGCUUGUCAGUGAUUCCUACUUACUUGUUGGAAUGUGACGUUCUAACAAUAUUCUCUUUUUUGGGAGAUUUUUCUACAAAGCCUAUGCUCCCUUCAGGAUUCUGAUAAUUUAUUUCAUUAUAAACUGUUGAUGAUGGAAUGUCUUGCUGAUUUAGCCCUUUAUUUGGCAAGCAGCCUGCCCUGUAUUUCUUUAAUUUAGGAAGGAAGGAAGGAAGGAAAAACACAGGGCUCUCUGAGUCACAUACUACAGAAAGGUCAUUUCUAAAACCUUUUCUGAUUUAACUUCUUCAACCUUUGCCAUUAUACAGCUUCUGUUUUCCUGAUAAUAGAGGACUCUCACUGGUGAGGAGAAAGCAGCUUCUGAAAUACAGGAUCACAUUCUGCUAUGUGCAAUGUGGCAUACUUUGGGGGAACGUUGAAGAGUUCUGUGAUCUGUUACAGAGGGAGCGGGGUAAAGGGAGUUGUGAAUACUGGAAAGGAAUUCAGCCUGUAUCACGAUUCAGUUCCUGAUGCACCAGUUCCAAAGUCUGCUGGCCCCUGGGAGAGGAGAAGAAAUCUCACUCCGCCUUGUUUGUUUAUACAGACCACAGCAUCGAUACAUUAUCUGAAUAUGGAGGUCAAAGGAUGCUGGAGUACGCCAUACCACUCUGGCUGGUUCUAGUAUGGCCUCAUUGAUGGGUAGAGCCACCUUACUCGGUCCUUGCAGCUGCAAGAUGUCUAGGAGCCAGUGUUGAGGAUCCUGGACCUCUGAUGAGAUCUAUAGGACACUGGCCACUCUUUGUAACAGCUCCUGGUACUGGCAAUGAUCGUCCAUAGUAGAACGCGAAGGAGGAGUGCCUGCUUCAUCUGGGGAUGAUGAAGAGGCAUCCAUCUGAACUGUCAGUACCUGCAGAUCUAAUUCCACCUCUUCCGCCUUGUACAUCAACAGACCCAGCUGGCGAGAGGGAGAGGAGUGUGACUCUUGAGAAGGGCCUUGACACCUGCCAUAAGGAUCCCAAGGACCACAAUAAGACCAGAAAGGAGAAUCGAUUGGUGGUGGGGGACCCCAAGGAAAUCAGUACCAGCGGUCCCUGGGGGUGUCGUACCCAGUGGAAUGGCAAGCCUAACCCCUUGACUGUUUAUCAAGGCUCAGCUGCCUCUGCAGAAUUACCGCUGUGGCCAGCUCCUCUGAGAAAGGAGCUCCCUCAGGAGGACCAGGCCAGAAAGAAGCGGAGAAUGCGGAUAAGGGAAGAAUAUAUCCUUCAGUGUUAUGUAAAUCUCAGUAUACCCUGUUGUCUGUCUGAGUGGUUCCUGCAGUUAAGUUUGAUGAAUCUAGUGCAUCUGCAGUGACAGAACUGUCUUUAGAUGGAUGAGGAGGUACCAACAAUCGGUCCAGACCAGCACUCAUAGACAGAAGUGCGGAGCAUCUAUCCUUAUUUUGGUUGUACACCAAAGAGAAGGAGGACACAAUUCUGACUCAGGCCAUGUCACAGUAGGAAAAAACUAGAGAAGGGUUGACCUACACUGGCUCUUAUACCUUCGGUUGGGAGCAUGAGGAGAGCUACUGCGCAUGUGCAGGUCAAUGGACAUUGCUUUGAAGAAUUUCUGGACUUGGGUCCAUGGUACACAUGUGUAACUACAUAUGGAAUACAUAUAGGGAACAUCACUCAAAAAAGAAGAUGUCCAGGAGGUUUGACAGAAGAUACUGUGGUUGAGAAGAGCUGCCUGGUGUGCCAUUGGACUGUUCCUUUGAUCAGCUUGCCGGCACUUAGCACCUGCAAACAAUUGCACUCCAGUCCCAUUGGUUGACACAGGAGGAGGUGAUGGCAAGAAGCCAGGCAAGACCAUGAUUUGAUGAGCUUCCCCCACAGAAAGAUUAAGCUCCUAUCCACCCUCAGUAAAGUUGGUCUCAGGCCCACCCCAAGCCCAUCUUCCAUCAGUCACAGCAGCAGGUGCUCCUGGGUACUCUCUGGAGGCACAGAAUGCAAAGCUAUCAGACUCUUACUCCUGUGCUGAGUUCUUCCAUGGUACCUAGGAAUUACUCCUUUGUUUGAGCCAAUGUAUAAAAAAGGGCAGACUGGUCCAAGGUGACUGGGGUGUCAAUCACAUCCUGGCUGCUGGGGGGAAAUGGCUUGUAAGAUCCCCUUUUUAUAAAUGAGACCAGCAUUGUACUGGAUAGAGUGGCUGUCAGUCAGCAGUUCAGCCAAUAGAAAACAUCCCUUCCAUUCAAACUAUAUUUGAAGCUCCCUCCUUACUGGGCUGCUGGCAGUCAGUAUAGAAGAAAGACUCAAGCUCUAGCCUCCUGCUUGAAGCUGGCAUGGGGCCUCCAGCAGCUGUUACUCCAGUGAGUAAACCCUGUGCCUGGAAUCCUCACUGUCCCCUCACCAAGUUUUUCUCUUAAUCGUCCGUGAGUGCCCUCAUCACACUCCCUCUUCCCAUGUAAGCUUGUCUUCUCUUGGCCAGCAACUCCUCCUUCCCAUCCCAUCUCUGCCUCCUCUCUCCUAGGAGAUCAUUCCUCUGUACUGGGUUUCGUUGUUGCAUUGCCAGCUUUCCUGAAGACAGAAGACUGGGGGAGCUGAACGUGAUGAGGCCCAGCAACAUAUUCUCCCAUCCUGUUUAGAAGACUAUUCCAGGUAAGAGAAGGAGGAGCCUGAUAGAAGGGAGAAAGCCUAGGCAUGGGGAAAUGUAGGGGGCACACUACCAUCUUCAUCCCCUCCCUACUUGGAGCAAUGGAUAAGAGCCAGGGGUCUUUGUUUGGCAUGUACUGGGGUAACUGGUGCACUCUAUAUAGAUAGACACUUGUUUUCCCACAGGGGAUCCUUGAGCAAAGAGUGGAGUGGGAUCCCCUUCUUUCCCUCUCCACUGCUGGGAGGAAACUAGGGGAAGGACUGCUUGGUGCCAGAGGAUCACCUUUUUUCACAAACAGUUCAGAGGAGGGCUGCUAACCUAGGAGAUCUUCUUCCCCAUUAGCCCCUGCCUACUUGGAGAUCAGAAGAAGGAUGACUGUAUUCAGAGGAUAUUAAUCUUUGUAAUAUGUCCAGAUAGAGCUACUAUAAGAUGGGUGCAUUAACUGUUUGGAAAACUGUUGCCAGAGAGUAAGUUAUGAAUAGUUCACAGUCACGCUGGAAGGGCAUAUCAAGUGGGGAUAUACAAAUGCAAAGUACUACAUUUAGGAAGGAACAAUCAGUUGCACACAUACAA